AGCGAGUUAGUCUAAUGGCUAAGACGCUUCUCUCAUAAGGAAGAGAAACCGGUUCGAUUCCGGUACUCGCUA
rnacentral:tRNA from 1 species